rnacentral:rRNA from 1 species
AGUGAACGCUGGCGGUAGGCCUAACACAUGCAAGUCGAACGGCAGCACAGUAAGAGCUUGCUCUUACGGGUGGCGAGUGGCGGACGGGUGAGUAAUACAUCGGAAUCUACUUUUUCGUGGGGGAUAACGUAGGGAAACUUACGCUAAUACCGCAUACGACCUACGGGUGAAAGCAGUGGAUCUUCGGACCUUGCGCGAUUGAAUGAGCCGAUGUCGGAUUAGCUAGUUGGCGGGGUAAAGGCCCACCAAGGCGACGAUCCGUAGCUGGUCUGAGAGGAUGAUCAGCCACACUGGAACUGAGACACGGUCCAGACUCCUACGGGAGGCAGCAGUGGGGAAUAUUGGACAAUGGGCGCAAGCCUGAUCCAGCCAUACCGCGUGGGUGAAGAAGGCCUUCGGGUUGUAAAGCCCUUUUGUUGGGAAAGAAAAGCAGCAGGUUAAUACCCCGCUGUUCUGACGGUACCCAAAGAAUAAGCACCGGCUAACUUCGUG